rnacentral:lncRNA from 10 species
GGCCUGUGGCGAACGGAGGCGAGCCGGAAGUGGGGGGGUUGUCUGCUCUCAGGCCCCGCCUCCCCGGGGCCGGCUCGGGCCACUUCUUGCGCGCUGCCAGAAGGAGCUAUUUUGAGCAGUCCUUCUGACCCUCGUGGCUUCUCCUGCUCCAAGGCCAAGCUCGGGACCCUGUCAUCAUCCCCGGGGACAGGCCCCAUCUUAGAGAGGAUCCACCCAGCUCCCCGCUCCUGAGCCAUCUUCCAGCUAUCCCGCCUCGAGACUCCCACCGCACCUGCUCCUGGGCUGCAGCUGCACCCAACAAGUCAACAUGUGGAUUGCUUCUAGAAUUUGGAUAUUAUGAACACUGCUGUGCUGAACAUUCUUGUACACUUAUAUGGUUUGGCUGUGUCCCCACCCAAAUCUCAUCUUGAAUUGUAGCUCCCAUAAUUCCUAUGUGUCGUGGGAGGGACCCAAUGGGAGGUAAUUGAAUCAUAGGGGCAGGUCUUUCCCCUGCUGUCCUUAUGAUAGUGAAUAAGUCUCAUGAGAUCUGAUGGUUUUAUACAUGGGAGUUCCCCUGCACAAGCCCUCUUGUCUGCCGCCAUGUAAGAUGUGCCUUUGCUUCUCCUCUGCCUUCCACCAUGAUUGUGAGGACUCCCCAACCAUGUGGAACUGUGAGUCCAUUAAACCUCUUUCCUUUGUAAAUUACCCAGUCUUGGGUCUGUCUUUAUUAGCCGCAUGAGAACAUACCAAUUUAUACACAUCUUCUGGAACCCAUUUCUUUCUGGUAGGUACUAGGAGUGACACUGUCAGGCUGUAGGAUAUAAGAUGCUUCAACCUUAUAAGAUAAUGCCAACGGAGUGUAUGAAAGCCCCAUUAUGCUACAUCUACCCUAUUCUUGGUAUUGUCAGACUUUUAAAUGUUUGCUUCUCUGGUUGAUACGUAAUAGAAUUUUGUUGUGGUUUUAAUUUGCAUUUUUAAAAUUCCUAAUGAGGAUGGGC